rnacentral:rRNA from 1 species
UACAGAGGUCUCAAGCGUUGUUCGGAUUCAUUGGGCGUAAAGGGUGCGUAGGCGGCGCGGUAAGUCGGGUGUGAAAUCUCGGAGCUUAACUCCGAAACUGCAUUCGAUACUGCCGUGCUUGAGGACUGGAGAGGAGACUGGAAUUUACGGUGUAGCGGUGAAAUGCGUAGAUAUCGUAAGGAAGACCAGUGGCGAAGGCGGGUCUCUGGACAGCUUCCUGACGCUGAUGCACGAAGGCCCGGGGAGCAAACGGG